AGCGUAUAUUAAAGUUGUUGCAGUUAAAAAGCUCGUAGUUGAAUUUCGGGAUUGACACAUCGGUCGUGCCUUAAGGGGUAUGAACUGGUGUAGUCAAUUUCUCACCUUCUGGAGAACCGCGAUGCCCUUAAUUGGGUGUCGCGGGGAACCAGGACCUUUACUUUGAAAAAAUUAGAGUGUUUAAAGCAGGCAUUUUGCUUGAAUACAUUAGCAUGGAAUAAUAAAAUAGGACGGCAUGAUUCUAUUUUGUUGGUUCCUAGGAUCACCGUAAUGAUUAAUAGGGAUAGUUGGGGGCAUUAGUAUUCAAUUGUCAGAGGUGAAAUUCUUGGAUUUAUUGAAGACUAACUACUGCGAAAGCAUUUGCCAAGGAUGUUUUCAUUAAUCAAGAACGAAAGUUAGGGGAUCGAAGACGAUCAGAUACCGUCGUAGUCUUAACCAUAAACUAUGCCGACUAGGAAUCAGACGAUGUUAAUUUUUUAAUGACUCGUUU
rnacentral:rRNA from 1 species